rnacentral:rRNA from 1 species
GACGAACGCUGGCGGCGUGCCUAAAACAUGCAAGUAGGACGCUGAAGGAGGAGCUUGCUUCUCUGGAUGAGUUGCGAACGGGUGAGUAACGCGUAGGUAACCUGCCUGGUAGCGGGGGAUAACUAUUGGAAACGAUAGCUAAUACCGCAUAAUAGUAGAUGUUGCAUGACAUUUGCUUAAAAGGUGCAAUUGCAUCACUACCAGAUGGACCUGCGUUGUAUUAGCUAGUUGGUGGGGUAACGGCUCACCAAGGCGACGAUACAUAGCCGACCUGAGAGGGUGAUCGGCCACACUGGGACUGAGACACGGCCCAGACUCCUACGGGAGGCAGCAGUAGGGAAUCUUCGGCAAUGGACGGAAGUCUGACCGAGCAACGCCGCGUGAGUGAAGAAGGUUUUCGGAUCGUAAAGCUCUGUUGUAAGAGAAGAACGAGUGUGAGAGUGGAAAGUUCACACUGUGACGGUAUCUUACCAGAAAGGGACGGCUAACUACGUG